rnacentral:rRNA from 1 species
AAUGAACGCUGGCGGCGUGCCUAACACAUGCAAGUCGAACGAACACACGAUGAGCUCGCUCCUUUACCGUUAGCGACGGACGGGCGAGUAACAAGUGGAUAACAUUCCUCUAUGACUUGGAUAAUUACGGAAAACAACUGCCACUACCACCUCAUAUAUUCUACCGGUUGGAUCAAUAGAUCUUGAGAGCUUUCCUGUCUCUUUUAGAUGGAUCCGCGCCGCAUUGUCUAGUUGGUAAGGUACCGGCUUACCAAGGAUACGAAGCGUAGCUGACCUGAGAGGGUGAUCGGCCACACUGGAACUGAGACACGGUCCAGACUCCUACGGGAGGCAGCAGUAGGGAAUCUUGCGCAAUGGGCGAAAGCCUGACGGAGCAACGCCGCGUGAGUGAAGAAGGUCUUCGGGUCGUAAAACUCUGUUAUUAGGGAAGAACAAAUGUGUAAUUAACUAUGCACGUCUUGACGGUACCUAAUCAGAAAGCCACGGCUAACUACGUG